GUGCUCGUCUGGGCAGCACAUAGACUAAAAUUGGAACCACACAGAGAUUAGUAUGGCCCUCCUGUAAGAAUGACAUGCAAAUCAGUGAAGCAGUCCAUAUGUUU